UACGAAGGGGGCUAGCGUUGCUCGGAAUUACUGGGCGUAAAGGGCGCGUAGGCGGCACUGUUAGUCAGGCGUGAAAGUCCUGGGCUCAACCUGGGAACUGCGCUUGAUACGGCAGAGCUAGAGGAUGGAAGAGGCUCGCGGAAUUCCCAGUGUAAAGGUGAAAUUCGUAGAUAUUGGGAAGAACACCGGUGGCGAAGGCGGCGAGCUGGUCCAUUACUGACGAUCAGGUGCGAAAGCGUGGGGAGCAAACAGG
rnacentral:rRNA from 1 species